CCUACGGGGGGCAGCAGUGGGGAAUAUUGGGCAAUGGGCGCAAGCCUGACCCAGCAACGCCGCGUGAGUGAAGAAGUAUUUCGGUAUGUAAAGCUCUAUCAGCAGGGAAGAAAGAAAUGACGGUACCUGACUAAGAAGCCCCGGCUAACUACGUGCCAGCAGCCGCGGUAAUACGUAGGGGGCAAGCGUUAUCCGGAUUUACUGGGUGUAAAGGGAGCGUAGACGGCAGUGCAAGUCUGAAGUGAAAGGCGGGGGCCCAACCCCCGGACUGCUUUGGAAACUGUGCUGCUGGAGGGCAGGAGAGG
rnacentral:rRNA from 1 species